rnacentral:rRNA from 1 species
GAGUUUGAUCAUGGCUCAGAACGAACGCUGGCGGCAGGCUUAACACAUGCAAGUCGAGCGGUCGUAGCAAUACGGCAGCGGCAGACGGGUGAGUAACGCGUGGGAAUCUACCCAGCUCUUCGGAACAACCCAGGGAAACUUGGGCUAAUACCGGAUACGUCCGAUAGGAGAAAGAUUUAUCGGAGUUGGAUGAGCCCGCGUUGGAUUAGCUAGUUGGUGGGGUAAUGGCCUACCAAGGCUCCGAUCCAUAGCUGGUCUGAGAGGAUGAUCAGCCACACUGGGACUGAGACACGGCCCAGACUCCUACGGGAGGCAGCAGUGGGGAAUAUUGGUCAAUGGGCGAAAGCCUGAACCAGCCAUGCCGCGUGAGUGAUGAAGGCCUUAGGGUUGUAAAGCUCUUUCAGUGGGGAAGAUAAUGACGGUACCCACAGAAGAAGCCCCGGCUAACUUCGUGCCAGCAGCCGCCGCCGUAAC